UGCAAAACUAGUUUAUUUACAAAACAAAUGGCACAGUUGUGACAGUCGGUGCUUGUGCACAGUUUGGAGAAUAAGAGUGAGCUGCCCCAACCAGAAGACCUAACUGGAAAAACACAUCGGCACAAGCUUGUGGCUAAACCCCGAAGGGCUUCGCUGAUCAGAGUGGGCAAAUAUUGCCCAGGAGAAACCGUGGAAGAUAUCAUUAAGGCAAGUUUCACCAAUCACACGCAGAAGGCGAGCAGCACACGUUGGAAAAACCCUCUGCGUCUUACUGGAAUUUCGUUAUAACAAAUGAGAGAGCUAGUGUAAAUGUCUGGACCACACAUGAACCGUUGCAAAGAAGAAAGGGAGUGAGUGAGUGAGUGAGUGAGUAAAACUAGUAAAAUCCUAAAAAAGGUUUCUGUUCAAUUGUUUCAGUCAGAUAACCGUGCAUUCACACCUGCGAGUAGAAAUUGCGACUACAUCUACUACUUCAAAAGCCAAAACGUUUCGUUUCCACAUGUGAACGGGUAAAGGAUGGCGAUAGAAAGCUAGGGAAGGAAAUGGACACAAAAGAACAAAGAGAGAGAACGAGAGCGACACACACACACACGUAAAAUGGAGGUAAAGCAGAGAUUGAAGCAUCAGGAAUGGUAACAGGAAAGUCCUCGCAGAGUUCAUAUCAAACAGCUAGUUUGCUGGCCACCAGCGAGGUCUUCCUUUGUGGCAGGUCCUGAGGAGUUGGGAUGUGAUCUCCGGUGAUCUCGGUUUUCUCCGCCGCAGCUGCAGGAAGCUGUUUAUUCUUCAUUUUGGCUUUGGCCAUAUUGUAAUCUCCUGAGUCAAAGUACUUUUGCUGGAGAAAAGAAUGAGCAUUGAUUAAUAUAUCAAAACACUAACAUUAAUAUACCAAACACUCUAGAGCAGUGGUCACCAAUCCUGUUCCUGGAGAUCUACCUUCAUGAAGACUUUAGCUCCAACCAUAAUCGCACCUUGAUCAAUUAAAACAGGUGUGUUAGACUUGGAGUGGUUGGACAUGAAGAAGAUAAAGAACCGCCCUACGUCCCAAUUCGCCUACUAUCCAUCCUAAACAGUAUCCGAGAUUCGAUUUAGCGUGUCCCAGAUCGUAGUAUGUUGAAAUGACAAUCCCAAGGAUACCCGGAUGGUCAAUUGUUUCCAGGAGAUUUUCGAAGUGUGGAUCCGAGGACAACUUUUCAGCGAAUAUUUCCCACAACUCCUUGCGUGAGGGAGGAAGAGGAGGAGGAGGAGGAGUUUUGUGACCGUUUGCUUCGCCAAAUUCAAGCACGUGUUUUAGAAAGGUUCCAAUGAAACGCAGGGGGAAAAAAAUUAAAUCAAGGAAAUGAUCAAUUAUAUAAUGUAAAUUACGUAAGGAAUAACGAAUGAAGAAAAGCUGAAACGCAACGAGGAGUUUGUUCACGGCGACAGCGUUCAAGUCAAUUCAAUUCAAUUUGUAUAGCGCUUUUAAUGAUGGACAUUGCCUCAAAGCAGCUUUACAGAAACAUAUAAACACAGGAUAGAGAUUUUAAGUGUGUGAAUUUAUCCCUAUUGAGCGAGCCGGUGGUGACGGUGGCGAGGAAAAACUCCCUAAGAUGAAAUGAGGAAGAAACCUUGAGAGGAACCGGACUCAGAAGGGAACCCGUCCUCAUCUGGGUCACAACGGAUAGUGUGAAAGUUAAAGAAAGUUCAUUAUGGUUUUAUAUGAAGUCUGUUUGUUGAACUAGUCCACUGUUCACGAAAGGAGACCCGAGUGCAAAACUGUACGUGGUAAUUGCAGUCCCAAGGCCAUCGCAGCAACCGUAGUCCCGUAGUUCUCUUCCGUUACAGGACAUGUUGGUAUUUCCUAGUACUCGCAUACUCUUUUAAUACACACUCAAAAGUAUGUACAUUUAGUAUACAGUUGUGCCCAAAAGUUUGCAUACCCCUUGCAGAAUCUGCUAAAUUGUAAUACUGUUAACAAAAUAAGAUUGAUCAUAAAAAUCCCAUGUUGUUUAUUUAGUCCUGUCCUGAAUAAGCGAUUUCACAUAACAGAUGCUUACACAUAAUCCACAAGACAAGAUUAUAGCUGAAUUUAUCAAAAUUACCCCGUUCAAAAGUUUACACACGCUUGAUUAUUAAUACCGUGUGUCGUUACCUGGAUGAUCAGUGACUGUGUUUAUGUUUUGUGAGAGUUGUUCAUGAGUCUCUUGUUUGUCCUGAGCAGUUAAACUACCCACUGUUCUUCAGAAAAAUCCUCCAGGUCCUGCACAUUCUUUACUUUCCCAGCAUAUUCUGCAUAUUUGACCUCUUUCCAACAGCAGCUAUGUGAUGUUCAGAUCCAUCUUUUCACACUGAGGACAACUGGGGGACUCGCACACGACUAUUACAAAAGGUGCAAACGUUCACUCAUGCUCAAGAAGGCAACACGAUACAUUAAGAUCCAGGAGGAUGUCAACUUUUGAACAGGAAAGAAGAUCUUUAAACAAAACAAUAACAAUUUACACCGAUCAUCCGGUUCAAAAAUGUUCAUUAUUAUCUUGUCUUGCGGACUGUGUACGCAUCUGUUAUGUGAAAGAGCUUAUUCAGGACAGUACUAGAUAAAAAACAUGGGAUUUUUAAUGAUCGCUCUUAUUUUGUUAACAGUAUUACGAUUUAGCAGAUUGUGAAAGGGGUGUGCAAACCUUUGGGCACGACUGUGCAAGUCGGGACGCAGGGUCGGUGAGCACUGCUCUAAAGCGGUCAGGUUCGUUGUAAUGGCUCGUGAUCAGCACAUCAUCUGAGCAAUAAGGAAAUUCAUUUCUGCACGGCAUGCUUGUUUGGACACGGAAUCAUACCCCUUUCUGGAGUCUUUUCCUCAGCAGGUCUGAGCCUCCUGGCUUAGUGCCCAGAUGAGGAUAUCUAGCCUUCAGCUUAGCUUCUUCUGCCUUCUCAGGACUCACGACUUUAUCCUGCAUCUCCUGUACGACAUGGGGAGUGAAUAAAGGACAAGGGAGAGUUAGUAAACAAACAAAUAUAGAAUUAAACUAUAAAUAAACUCGGUGGUCAACAAGUGGGUAAUCCCAAACAGGCUUCCAGAGCUGCAGGGCAUGUUCAUGCUGAGAUUAGUGAAGAAGGAUGACGUUAUAUCAGAGCAAUGCUGGGCAAAUAUACACGCCAUGAUCAUUUCCAG
ensembl:lncRNA